GCAGCCGCUCCGCCCGGCGCGCGCGGGGAGGAGGGAGGGGCGGGGGAAGGGAAGGGCGGGGGGAGGGAGGGAAGGGGCAGAGCCAGCCCGCUGCCGCCGCGCUCCUCGCGGGCCGCCCGCCGCCGCCGCCGCCCGCCGCCGCCUCGCCUCGCCGAGCUCUGCUUCCCACCGCCGCCCUCGGCAGCCCAGGGGCGGGCGGUGACGACGGAGCGGGGAGGGGCGGAGGGCGCGCGGCCGCCGCCGGAGCGGUGCUAAGGGCCCGCGCGUGCGCGUGAGCGCAGGGGGCGGGCGCGCGCGGGCUGGCGUCUGGCGGCUCGCGGGCGGUUUGACAUUGCCGCCCUCCGGCGCGGGAGGAGCUACGGGGGCGGGGGCGGGGCUGCGGGAGAAGGCGGGGACCGGGGGGAGGGACUGGCCAAUCGCCACGGUCGCCCUGCUAACCGGAAUUUGGUGACGGCCUGUCACGGAGCGACAGGUAUUUAAAAGGGGCGGGGCGAGGCCCGGCGGCCAAUCGGAGUGACGAAGGAGAAGGCGUGGCAGCGCGCGCGGAGGGGAGACGACUCUCGUCGCCGGGCAUUGGCGGGUCAGGAAAGGGAGGGCGCUGAGUGGCAGCGCUGUGAACCAAUGGGGGCGGCGCGGCGCCGCGCGGGUCACGGCGGGAGAGGAGCGUCGCCGGCGGCGGCGCUGCAGCGCGCGUGGGCCGGUGCUGCUCCUGGCGUUCCGCGCGGCCUCGCCGCGGGGGCUGCUGGGAGCCGCAGUUCGCCGCGUGCGUGUGGCGCGAGGGGAGCUGCGGCUGCCGCCGCGUGCGCGGCCGUGACGGCACCUGCGGGGUGCUGGGGGCACUGCGUGGCGCGGCUUUCCCCAGCCAGCCCUCUGAGGGCUGCUCGGCCGUCCCCGAGUGCUUCUGCUUGGCUUUCGAGGUGCCCUGCAUUCAGCCCAGAACAGCUUUCUUGUAGGGUAAAGGUGCAACUCAAGGUGACAAUUAAUUUUAGGCAUUUCAAUAAUUAUCCCAAGUUAGUCUGGGAAAAAUCCAGGUUGCUUCAGGAAUUCUCACUGGUAUGAUGAAUCAUUUAUUGCUCUCACUUGAUCUGUAGAUUCACAGCUCAAAUUGGGUUGUGACUUCACUAUUUCACUUUGCUCUGGGCAUACAGCAAGUUGUAUUGGACCACAGUCAAAUGUAAACACAUCAGAAAGUAUAAUAUUUAAAGCAUGAUACAGUGGUUGUGAAAUGGUGCUUAAAUUCUAAAUCAUUGAUUUGCUUUUAUUACAGUUUUAGAAUCUUUAGUGAAUCUCUCAGAUUUCUUAACCUUAACAUCUUCCAGAAGGUUAAGAGUUUUUG
rnacentral:lncRNA from 1 species